GCCAGGCAUGGUGGCGCAUGCCUGUAAUCCCAGUUACUCAGGAGGCUGAGGCAGAGGAAUUGCUUGAACCCGGGUGGUGGAGGUUGCAGUGAGCCGAGAUCACGCCACUGCACUCCAGCCUGGGUGACAGAGUGAGACUCCAUCUCAA
rnacentral:SRP_RNA from 1 species